GAGCAGGGGCCACAUAGAAAGAAAAAUUCAAUUGGUGUUUCUGUCUCUCUUUGACUCUUUGUGUUAACCGAAGACAAAGCACACUGGUUGAAGACAAACAAAAAGUAGCAGAGGAAGCCAUGGAUGAAAAUAGCUCAAAUAAUACAGCUAUAGGACCAAAGUUGUCAGAGUUGGAAGGGUU